UAAAUGACUCAUUUAACAGUUUAACACUUGUUGAGUCGUUGCCCUAACCCAAAGAAGGCGGGAAAAAUCACGCUUUCUUAUUCUCACUACUCCACGACCUACUCCAUGAUUCCAUACGCAGAAACUGUGUAACUCCUCUCCUGCCCCUCUUUCUCUUCCGGAUUCACAUCCAUCUCCUUCCCAUGUGAAUCCGAGCGCUACGAUUCUCUAAUAUUUCUUCUUCACGGAAAUUACCAGGUAAAUUAUUGAGAAUUAUUAAUUCAUUAUUUUCUGUGAAUUCAAAAAGAGAUUGAGCACUCAAUCCCUAAAUUAAUUCAAUUUUUUUUAAAUUACAAUCGGGGAGGUUGGUGGAUCGGCGGCUAGGUCAGUGGUACUGCUCUUCUUCGAGGUUCUUAUCGAUCUCCAUAGCUGUUAUUUUAUUUGUUUGAUUGAAAAUUCAAUUUUUGUUUACUUUCCUAUAAUUAAGUUUUUUUGGGUUGAAUUUGUUGAUUUGUUGGUUGAAUACAGUUUUGAAAAUUCUGGCGUUUUCAGGUAAUUUGCAUCAAGUUCAGUUAUUGUGUUUGAGUUCCGUUAUUUUAUAAUUUGGAUUUCGAUUUGUGUGGUAUUUUAGGUUUACAAGUUCAAUUUUAUAAUUGAAGGAUGAAUUAUAUCAGUUAGUUUUUUCAUAAGGAGUACUAAUUCACAAAUUAUGCUGAAUUUUGUUUUUAUAUAAAAGUGUUAUAUCUCUGUCGACGAAUUUUGAGGAACUGCAAACUUCUCUUUUCUUUUCCUGCGAAUUGUUAUUUGGUUCAAUGUUACUGAAUCAUAAGCUGAUUGAUAUUGUAUGUGUAGAUUCACUAAUUAAUUUCAGCUGGUUGUCGCCUUCGUGUAUGCCUUCCACUUGUUCGAAGAAAUGCCUCAAUGAAAGAAAUCCAGUAAAAAAGAAGGUUUAGUGUAGCAGCAAACAAGACCGUGGUACCCGUGUUGAAGGGGUUACAGAAACUGCAGAAAAAGGAAUUAUCAAAGAUACUGUGGACCGAGGCAGCCAUUAGAGCCAUUGAGGGAAAAGUCGGGUCUAAAAAGUUUAAGAUUUUAUCGCCAAAAGCUGUUUUGGAAGCUUAGACGAGGCUAUUCAACACUACAAAUGGGGGUUUGCUCUCAAGGAACAAUGAGUCUAGAACAUCGUCCUAAUUUGGGUCGAGGAGAGCUCUUUGAAGCAUGAUCGAGCAUUCGAGUUUGCUGUAUAUGAACUCCUUAGACUACAACUAGUGUUAAGUAUUUAGUUUAUUCCAAACUUUUAGUUUAGAUAUAUAUCCAAACUUUUAGUUUAAUUCUAAACUUUUGCAUACGAUGUUAGAGUGACAUGUAUGAAUUUAUAUUUUAUUUUAUUGUAUUUGGAUAAAUAUGUACUAGUUAUUCAAAAUUAUUUUUUA